rnacentral:rRNA from 1 species
AUGGACGGAUGGAUGAGCCGAGCUCGCUCCCCAUCGCGGCGCGCCACGCCAUCGCAUUCUCCUUUCCAGGCGGCGCCCUGCCACCCAGGCAUGCGAGGGCGCGGAGGCCAACCGCGCGGCGGCGGCUCGCGGAAGGAGGGCGCGAGGGCCGGGCCCGAGUGGCGGCGCGCCGACGGCCGGGCCGAGGCGCUCGCCGCCGACCGCGCGCGGCUGGAGGCGGAGAACGAGGCCCUCCACGCGCGGCUCCGCCAGGCGGAGGCGAGCGGGAGGAAGCGGAGGACGGCCUACGUUCAGCCUUCUGCUAAUCCCAAGUUCGUCGGUGAGAACACACGGCCCGGCCCGGCCCUCGUUUCUUGGCCGCCCAUGAUAACCUGUAAUCUCACCUUGUUGGUUUGGUGCUACUCUUGCUCUGAUUGA